rnacentral:rRNA from 1 species
GGUUGAUCCUGCCAGUAGUCAUAUGCUUGUUUCAAAGAUUAAGCCAUGCAAGUCUAAGUGUAAAUAUUACUAUUGUGAAACUGCGAAAAGCUCAUUAUAACACUUAUAAUUAAAACGGUCUAAAUUUAUAUGGAUAUCCAUGGUAACUCUGGUGUUAAUACAUGCAAUCAGAUUUGCUUAGCAAAUUGUCGACCAAUUGAGUGCAUUCAAUCAUGUUUCACAUGCUUAUUGAAUAAAUUGGUUCCGAAAAUCGUUUUUACGAUAUGCCGUUUUAGUUUGUGACCUAUCAGCUU